ensembl:lncRNA
GCUUACUAGGUCACCCAGGUGAAGGUAUGGCAUAGCUGCAUAGGAGGUUGUCUUCCCAACGAUGUCUGGGCCGGAGCAGCCUGGAGGCAUCAAAGCCAGCUCCUUGCCUCAUGGUGGUUUCCUUGCCAGAGGAUCACCAGUCAACUACUAACUGCCUGAACCUGGUCAUCUUACAAGAUCUGAUGAAAGUAUGCCACAAGAAAGCACUGUUUAAGCAAAAAAGUUCUUGAUGCUGGUACAAAUGCCUCCAAGGCUGUGAGCCUUCCAGAAAGAGAAACUAUAUUUACAGUGACCAUUGUGGGGAAAAAAACAAACCAAAAAACACCCUGACAUAUGUUAAGUGGUGUAUGUCAAGUGUAGGAUGGAAACAAACCUUUCUAAGCUCAAGCCUGAGACUUGCAUGGUGUUGUGCCAUACCGUCCAAAAAAACAGCACUAAUGAAUCACACCAGUUCAGAAGGAUCCUUACAAAAUGAUGUAAUUCUUCAUCCUACUGACAUUAUUGAUUAUCUUUAAGAAGACACUUACCAGGAUAAAUUACUUGUUGUUAUCUGCGAACCAGACUUCUCACAUUCUUGGACACCAAAUAAAUACUCUUAGAUUUGUUGGUUAUUUCAAGAUCAAUAUACAUAGCCUCAUAAUAGCAGAAAAUUAGUUUGUCAAUAGAAAUUGACCAGUGCACAAUCCCAAAAUUGCAGUUAUGCAGAUUGCAGCUACUUUGCGUGUAUGUGUGUGUAAAUGUGUUUUGGUUCAAGAGGAUUCCCACUCUGACAUGUCUAAUCAUGAAAGUCAAAGUCUUCUAUUCCAUUGCAAGCCAAAUCUGUGAUUACUAAAUUUGGUAGAAUCGAGGAAAUCAAACUCUGAGAUGAUAUGGUUAGAGGCUUUCAAAGUACAUAUUAUCUUGAUCUCCCUGUCCUGAAAAAAAAAUCAAAUACAUGGCAAGAGUAUUUUCUUGGGACCUUCUUUCAUUCACUUAAAAUCUAAGUUCCACAAACUAUGUUCAUAUGGAAGGAAUUGUCCCUUUGCCUAAAGCAAGAUCAGAAAGGCAAAAGCCAAGACUGAACUCUACCUGGCCGCUGGGAUAAAAGAGAACAAAAAACUUUUUUACAGUAAAGGGAGGGCUAAGGAGAAUCUCCAGCCUUUACUGGAUGUAGCAGGGAAUGUAACCGCUGAGGAUAAGGAAAAGGCUGAGAUUCUCAAUGCUUUCCUUACAUCUACCUUUAAAAAUCAGACUAGUUAUCCUCUGGGUACUCCACCCCCUCACUUGGAAGUCUAGGAUGGGGAGAAUAAACCCCCCACAAUUCAUGUGGGAGCAGUUAAGAGACCUACUACUGCACUUGUCUGUCACAAGUGUUCAGGGCCAGGUAGGAUCCACCCAAGGGUGCUGAGGGAGCUGGUGGAGAUAGUAGCUAUGCCACCUUCCACCAUCUAUUACUGUUCCUGGUCAACCAGAGGAUUGGAGGCUAGCCUUAUCUAUAAGGUAGAUAAUUAACACCUAGUAGCAGACAAUGCUGCUCAAAUGGCUUACAUCUGAGAUGAAUGUCAGAAACACUAAGCAAAACAAGUGCCGUACCCUCUGACUCAUUGUCUAGUUAAAUCUUGUACAGUCUGGCAUAUCUCCAAAACAAUAUAUAUAUAUAUUUUACCUUAUUUAAUGAUACUGACCUAUGAAAUUAUAUUUCUCUGUUCCCUCACUCUGUGUUGAUCCAAUACAAGAGAGUAAGUUUUCUU